rnacentral:rRNA from 1 species
UACGUAGGGGCUAGCGUUAUCCGGAUUUACUGGGCGUAAAGGGUGCGUAGGCGGUCUUUCAAGCCAGAAGUGAAAGGCUACGGCUCAACCGUAGUAAGCUUUUGGAACUGUAAGACUUGAGUGCAGGAGAGGGCAGUGGAAUUCCCAGUGUAGCGGUGAAAUGCGUAGAUAUUGGGAGGAACACCAGUGGCGAAGGCGGCUGCCUGGACUGUAACUGACACUGAGGCGCGAAAGCGUGGGGAGCAAACAGGAUUAGAUACCCGUGUAGU